GCGGUCGUAGCUCAGCUGGAUAGAGCACGAGAUUCCUAAUCUCGGUGUCGUGGGUUCAAAUCCCGCCGAUCGCACCA
rnacentral:tRNA from 1 species